CUCACAGUCUUAACUGCAAAUGAUCUAGACCAUUUAGACUUCAAUUUACUUGGGAAUAAUCUCAAUCUAGAAUUAUAGAGUAUGACAAGUUAGUUCGGCCUAAUCUCUCUUUUUAGAAUCUUUUUGUCAUGGUAAACCUUCACUUUAGACUUGUAGAUGCGUGUAGAGUCAUAGGCUUGUGUUCUCAACUCCUAAAGUUCUUACAAUUGUAGCUUUCUCUUUUCUC
rnacentral:lncRNA from 1 species